rnacentral:rRNA from 1 species
AAUAGAUACCCGGGUAGUCCACGCCGUAAACGAUGAGUGCUAAGUGUUGGGGGUUUCCGCCCCUCAGUGCUGCAGCUAACGCAUUAAGCACUCCGCCUGGGGAGUACGGUCGCAAGACUGAAACUCAAAGGAAUUGACGGGGGCCCGCACAAGCGGUGGAGCAUGUGGUUUAAUUCGAAGCAACGCGAAGAACCUUACCAGGUCUUGACAUCCCGGUGACCACUAUGGAGACAUAGUUUCCCCUUCGGGGGCAACGGUGACAGGUGGUGCAUGGUUGUCGUCAGCUCGUGUCGUGAGAUGUUGGGUUAAGUCCCGCAACGAGCGCAACCCUUAUUCUUAGUUGCCAUCAUUCAGUUGGGCACUCUAAGGAGACUGCCGGUGAUAAACCGGAGGAAGGUGGGGAUGACGUCAAAUCAUCAUGCCCCUUAUGACCUGGGCUACACACGUGCUACAAUGGACGGUACAAACGGUUGCCAACCCGCGAGGGGGAGCUAAUCCGAUAAAACCGUUCUCAGUUCGGAUUGUAGGCUGCAACUCGCCUACAUGAACG